UAGAGUAAUGCGUGACCAACCUGCCCCAUGCUCCAGAAUAGCUCUUGGAAACGGGUGGUAAUGCUGGAUGCUCCAACUUGACGCAUGUCUUGUUGGGAAAGUGUUUAGUGGCAUGGGAUGGGGUCGCGUCCUAUCAGCUUGUAGGCGGGGUAAUGGCCCACCUAGGCUUCGACGGGUAGCCGGCCUGAGAGGGCGGACGGCCACAUUGGGACUGAGAUACGGCCCAGACUCCUACGGAGGCAGCAG
rnacentral:rRNA from 1 species